rnacentral:lncRNA from 1 species
AAAAAAGAGAGUAUAAUUCGAAAUUGAUGACUCAAAACAAAUUCAAGAUAUUUAAUUUUCUAAAAAUGCAUGGAACAAAAGAAGUGGCAAACAUAGUUAUCUUUAUCCCACGUUUGGAUUAAAGUUUUCAAAAUUUUUUGUAUUCAAUAUCAAAUGGUAAACUUCAGCGGACUGAUAUUUUAAAGGGUAUACAAAGGUUAACGCGCUUAACUUGAAGCAAUAUUGAAUCGAAGAAUCAUGGAUCCUCUUCUGAAAUGGACAAUAAGUAAUGGAAGAAAGCAGUAUUCUAAAUCUAAGCAAUGUAAAAUGUGUACGAUAAAAUUUUUUUUUGUUUUACAAAUUAAAAAUUUUAGAUUCGUAACCAAGUUCUUAUGUACAGUAGAAAUUUAAGACUUUUUGAUUCUUUUCUCGGUUGGUAAUAGCAUCUCCAGUCGUUGAGAGACUCAAAUACGUUUCUUACAGAUUUAUAUUGUUAUUUUGGGAGACUCACAAAAAUGCUCAUUUUCUCAUGACCUUUUUCAAAAAUACUCUCUCCCUAAUAGCUUUCCUGAAACUGACCAUUUUACCUUUAAUGAGAAUUUAACCUAAAUAAAAAACCCUAGCUCCCAUCACCCAGAUUGCCGCCGACUACGCCGCCGCCGACGAGAUCUAUUUUCAUCUUCUCACAGGAGGAGAUCCAGCGAUUGAGAGAGAAUCUACGCCUUUGAUUUAUCCAAAACUCGAUUUCGUUGCUAGAUUUGUCAUGUUUAUGUAUUUCAACAUUUUUCUUCUGUCAAUAUGAUGAAAUCUCUCAGAUUUGGAUUCUCAAUUUUCUGUAAUCACACAAAAAUCCUCUUUAAUCUCUUAUUCUUCGGCUUAAGUUUGAUUUCACGGUUUCAAUUUCGAUUUCAAAAACGAUUGUUGUUUUUUGUUCCUUUAAAAUACUUUGUAAAUCCUUUUAAAACCUUUAAAAUACCUUGUAAAACCUUUUUAAACAUUUAAAAUAACCUUUAAAAUACAUUGUAAAACCUUUUAGAACUUUUAAAAUACAUUGUAAAACCUUUUAAAAACCUUUAAAAUACCUUGUAAAACCUUUUUAAACAUUUAAAAUAACCUUUAAAAUACAUUGUAAAACCUUUUAGAACUUUUAAAAUACAUUGUAAAACCUUUUAAAACCUUUAAAAUACCUUGUAAAAUUUUUACAAUACCUUGUAAACUCUUUUAAAUACAUUGUAAAACCUUUUUAAAAGCAUGUACAACCUUUAAAAUACGUUGUAACAUCCAUAAGUGGAAUAAAUUAAAGAUGAUAUACAGAUUUCGCUUGAAAAAAGCUUCUAAAAGACAGAGAUCGGUUACCUGGAAUUGACAGAGACGAACACAGAGGGAGAGUGAUAUAGAUCUCGCUUGAAAAAUCGAACCCAACAGAUCUGGAUUGAAACGCUUGAAAAAUCGAACCCAACAGAUCUGGAUUGAAACGCUUGAAAAUCGUUCGAAUUUGAAAAUCGUUCGAAUUUUACAUCUAGUGGGAUUCGAAUUAGGAAUCAACAACGGUGUCGCCGGCUCCUCCGCCAUUUUCAACAGAUUACGGGUUCGAUGGAGCAGACGACGACAAGAGAAGAUGGGAUUUUAGGGUUUUGGCCUGCAACAUGUAUCUCAUUAAACAAGGGUAUUUUAAUCAGUUUAGAUAUUUUUGAGAGGCAUUUUUAAAAAUGACCAACUGAAAGGAACAUCAUUAAAAAAGGGCAUUAUUAACAAUUUUUCUAUUUUAAAAUCAUUAGAUAAUUUAAUUAAAAUUUAUUUAAUAAAGAAACUGAACAAUUCAUGAGAAGACACUUGCCUUUAAAAAUUUCUCAAAUGAGAACAGUUUAUUGUGUUUUAAUGUUAAAAUGCCCUUUUAGAGAUCCGUGCAAUGAAAAAACGCUUCUCUCUCUUCCCACUAUAGAUUUUUCAGAGAGAGAAAGCGGUGAGUAAAAUUAUGGCUUACCAUUUUAUGGAGAUACUCUAAAAAACAAUAGAUUAAUUGGUUUUAAUGUUAAAAUAUUUUUUUGGAGGAUUUGGAGGAAAUACUUUUACUAUAGAUUAAUUGGUUAUAAUGAAAAUAUUUUUUUAGAUCUCUGCAAUGGAGAUACUCUAAAAGCAAUAGAUUAUGUAAAAUUAUUGUUUUUUUUUUUUUUGAAAUUACUUUCUCAUUCACACAUGCUUAAGCUUUUUUUUAAUAUGUUAAAUACUUCUAGUUCACAAGAUGAAAUUAGUUUAGUCAAAUUUUAUUUCUGUUGCAAAUUUAAUAUAGUUUCAGUUGAUACAUAUUAAUUCAUCUAUCAUCAAAUAUCACAGUUUCCACCUGGUCCCCCAAAAGAGAAAGCUACUCCAUUUGGCUUGGAAUAACCCCAGUAUGAUAAUCUAUAACACUGAUAAGAAUCUGCAUAUUGCCUUGCUCUCCUAUCUUCAAUAUCAACUAGUUGAUAAUUUGAAUUCUUCACUUUAACAUGAAUAUAAUAUGAACUUUUAUGAAAGUCAAAAACCGGAAAAUGUCCAUUUCCCAUUGGAGGACUAAUUCCAUUUGGAGAUGUAAAAGUAUUUCCUCCAAAUCGCACCAAAGAAGCUCCUUUAUUUAAGUGUGUGAAUAGUUCUUUGGGCCAAUAACCAAUUAUUUCAUCAAAGAUUUUUAGUGCCCAAUUUCCGCUGAAACCAUCCUAAUAAAGUAUAAAACACAAAAAAAUAAUUACAAAGAUAUUUAAAUUUUAUGCGCAUAUAUGUUAUUUUAACAAAAAAAAUUGACACACUAUAUUGAAUAAUGAAAAAUUAUAAUGAGGGUGAACCCGAUUAUUUCAGAAGCCUAAACAAAGAACUUGAAUUUGUGGCAUUUAUUAAAAUAAUUAAUAACUACAAUUCCUAUCAUUGUUGGCAAAUAAUUAUUUCUCUUAUAAAAUGUGAAGAAAAUUUACCUGUAAAACUUGUGGUAUGAUAACAAAUGUUUCUUUACCACCAUAAAUAGAGGAUUUAUUAAUAAAGCUUCCAAUAACAGGAAAUGGAUUUAUAAUAACAAAACCAGGACACUUUGUAUUAUAACACCCCGUUUUCUUAUAUCCAUCUGCCUGAUAAAUUCAAAAGAGGCAAAAUAUUUUGAGACACAAAGAUACAAAAAGGCAACAAAUGGUUUAUUUUUAUAAACAUACAAAGAUAUGGUUUAUUUUUAUAAAGAUACAAAGAUAUAAAGACUAUUUUUUAUAAUCACAAAGUUUUAUUGGUUUGUCAUGUAUAAAGAAACAUAAUUAUUCGCAAAAAAAAAAACACAUAACUAAGUCACUUACAGUCCAAUAUAUUGUAAAUCGCGUCAAAGUAUCCCCGUAUAAUCUUGGAUGCACCUAUAAGAAAAUAUAAAAUACAUGAUGAAAUAUGUGUACUAUCUAAAAUUUUAAAAUAUUAAUAUUUUUGUUUACAAUAUUAAAAUAAAUUAAAAUAUUAAUCAAAAUUUAAGUGGUAAUUUUUUUGUUUAGAAAGAAAAUAUUAACCAUUUUGUAAUUUUCGUCGAAUAUGUAUGCAUAAUUAUAAUUUUUUAUGUUUACUUAUAUUUUUCUUUUUACGUAUAUAUAUUACGUAUUUUAGUUCCAUGUGUAAAAUCACAUGACUAUGUAUGAACUAUACAUACUUUGUUUUAUAAUUAAUAAUAACUUACCGCCCAACCAAUUUGUAUGCUAUUGAGUUCACCACGAGGUCCAUUCUCUAACCAAAUUUGACUUUUGCUGUAUUGGUUAUUUUGUACUGUUACAUUAUGAACACUUAUCAUAGCUUCUGCUCCCCGAUAGAUGCUUCCAUCCAAAACGGUCUCGAUUGUUGCAAACUGUACAUCAAAGGUAUAUAAAUAUAGGCUCGUUCACAAAAUAUACGUGUAUUAUAAUUGACUUGAUUUAUAGAUAGAAUUAAUGAUAAAUAUAUAUACAACUUAAAAAAGCAACAACAUGACUAUAUAAGUAAGCCUGGGCCGGAUCCGGAUAUCCGGCAUUUUUAGGGUUUCCGGAUCCGCCUUUUCAUUAUCCGGAUCCGGAUCUGUUUCAUCUGGAUAUCCGAAUUUCGGAUAUCCGUAAAAAUAGCCGUGUAUCCGGAUCCGGGUUUUUUUAAUAUAACUUUUUUAUUAAUAUAAUAUUUGAAGAAAAAUAUUUAAAAACAAAUAAUUUAAUAUAAAUAAUUAAAAAUAUUAUUAAAUAAUAUUAUUCCUAUAUAAAAUAAUAAAAUUUAUUAAUAAAAUUUAAAUAAUAGUAAUAAAAUAUUAAAAAAUAUUAUUAUAAUAUAAAAUAUCCCGGAUCCGGAUAUCUAGCUUUUAAUUUUCUAUUAUCCGGAACCGGUUGGAUCCGCUUUUUCAUUAUCCGGAUCUGGAUCCGCCCCACCCAGAUAUCCAGUUUUUCGGAGCGGAUCGGAGCGGAUCCCAGAUCCCGGAUAAUUGGUCUCAGGGCUAUAUAUAAGUAUAUAUCUAUUUACUUUUCGUGUGUUGCAAAUCAUAAUUAUAUGCGAUUAAAUAAAUUUCUGAUAAAAAUAUAUAUAUAUAAAAAAAGAAUUACAUGUUGGCCGGGAUAGUCGACUGUGUUGAGAUGAACGCUUUCAGUUCCAUUUCUUUGUUUUAAAAUUGGCACUGUUCCUUUUGGACAACUUAGAUCAUUUUUUUGAUAUUUAAUUUUUACAUUGUGGCUUUCGUUGAAACUGAAAUUUUCCUGUAACAGCACAAAAUAACAGGAUUAAGAAAAUAUAAGAGAAUUUCAAAAUUAUGCUACAUUUAUUAUAAUGAUAUUUGAUUAUAUCUAAGUAUCCACUAUAACUAUUGUACCUGAAUCUUGUGGUUUUUCAACAAUGGAUGUUGGAAAGCGGGUUGUUUGUAUAUAUCAACACAAUCAAAUUUCUGUAAAAUUGAAUACAAAAAUAAUUCUUUUUGAGAAAUUUAAAUGAUAAAAUCUUAAGGAAUGUAAAAUUACAAGGUAGAAGUUAUAGAAGCUCACAUCAACGUUUCCUUCGACCAUUUGCGUAAAAAGCAAAUAAGAAGAUAGAACAAGCACUAGAUUUAAACCCAUUGUUAAACUUUACUUAUAUUUCUCCAUUGAUAUUUUGAUCGCUAUAUAUAUAGAAUUUGAGUCAACAGACAUUUAACAUGUUACAAAAAAAAUUAUACUUGAGUCAACAACAACUAAUUAGUUUUAUACCAUUUUUAAGUUUUCUUUUAACAGAAUACAGAAAUACAAUAUAGCACACAUAAAAAUAAAAUCUAUGAAAAGAAUACACUUUGACUAAAAAAGACACGAGGAGGCCAACGUGUCGCCACGAGUUAACUUCGAUCUGUGACGUCACCUAGAUACCUCUAAUAAACUUAACAAAAGUAUCAAUCACAAAGUUGAACUAAAAACUUGAAAGUCUUGUAGUCUUUUAUACAUAUAAAAUUACUGUUAUUUUUCAUAUAACUAUUUAAUACAGUUGACUAAAACAUAACAUUUUAAUUCAAUUGACAAAAGUUAUAAGAGGAAAAGAAACUUGUUCAUAUAAACGUGAAAGUAAAUUUGUCAACAAAAAAUUUAGAAAAUUUUGGUCCGUAAAAUAAAAUGCAAUGGUUUAAAACACCUAAUUGGUCCAUGAAAUGUAAAAUGAGACUUGUCCAGAAAAACUAGAGUUGGUCAAUGACAUUACCUAAACUUUUGAACCCGUAAACACCAAAACUCUAAUAUUAAAAAUUGUUUUUUGAGCCCAUUAAUAAGCAAAAAAUUUUAGCCCAUUUAAUAACUUAAAGUGCAUCAAGGGAUGCUCUUAUGUAGCAACAGAUUUUUCCUGAUUGGCUAAAAGACCUUUUUGAAUGUGAGAGAAGCUAUGCCUCUGUUUCGGAUCUUCAUCCAUAAUUCUUUUUAGACUUUGGUGUAGAUAACUUGUGUCUUUGCUAACACCCGUUAUUUAUAGAAUGACUAGAUGACAAAAAAACAAAACUGUAAGAAAAGUCAAAAUUAUAGUAUUGAUUACGAUCGAAGAUGGCACCUCCAUCUGGUGCAUACUACAAAAUUCGCCGUGCAUCACUACAAAGUACAAACUCUCGAAUUGAUAUCCCCACUUUUUAAAUAUAUUUUAAUAUUGCCCUUCCAUCUUUUAUAUUAUAAAACACGUUAUUUGACCAAUCAAAAUUUGAUACAUAGAUUUUUUUCAUAAUUUAAAUUAUUUAAAAUUCUAAAAUAAAAUUGAGAUCGUGGAAAAACAAAAAACAAAAAGACAAAACUUAUUAUAACUACCGAACAAAAACAUGUCCAAAGCUCUUUCUCUUUAUACAUUUUUUUUUUUUUUCACAAUAGAUAUUACAUGGGUAAAACCCCAGAUUUUUUUUUUUUUUUUUUUUAAUUUCCAUUAAAAUAAUUAAAACAUACAAGGCAAAGAGCCCAAACUGGAGCACGCAGGCCCGAAAAUUAAAAAGUACAAGGCUAAAAGCCCACAAAAAGGCACGCAGGCCCAAGAAAAAAACACAAGACAGAGGAAGAAAGCCAGAAUAAAGGUCUCCCGAAGCAAAAGAGAGCAAACCUAGCUUUAGUCUUGGAACAGCGCGAACCAAGUGACGAGGAGAGAGGAGCCCAAAGGUCACGAUAAACCCCAGAAUUUAAUAAAUACAAUUUUCUAAAUACUAAUAACUAGAAUAAAAUUGCCCUACAGACAGGACAAGUGUUGUUCCAUUGACUUAAACAGUGGAAGUGGAACGCGUGUCCACAAACUGUGUUAGCCAAUGGAACAUUCGACUCAAAUUUACCUAGACAUAUACUACAUUUACGUUCUGGAUACCUAAAUACAAAUUGCUCCAUUGGAACGGCCAUAAGACCGGGAGCAAUAUCUUGUUGUUCAUCGCUACAAAAAUAUAUUUUAAAAAACAAAAAAAGAAAUCCUACAACAACUAAGGCGACAAAGACACAGAAAAACGGCAGUAAUGCUGCAAUGAAGUUUUGAUAGAAUAUUGAAGCACGGACUGCAUUCAACAUGAUCAAAAGAGAGAAAAGAAAAAUCAGAGAAAGAGAAAAAAAGAUCGGAAGAAAGAGACUGUGUUUAGCGACUGUGUUUAAUUAGGACGGCUAGAUUUAAAAAGCAGCGACAAAUAAAAACUAAAAAGAAGCGACGGUAUAAAUGGUGAAGGAUAAGGACCUUAUCAUAAGGUGUCACCGUUGAUCGCCAGGUGAACAAGCACUCCACCUCCGACUGUUUUUGAUGCACAACUCCCAAGUAAAGGUGUGAGGUGGAGUUAAGAAGAAGAGGAUCGGAAGAAUUACAGAAAAUUUUUGAUCAUUAGGUGGAGUUAAGAAGAAGAGGAUCGGAAGAAUUACAGAAAAUUUUUGAUCAUUGAUCAUUAGGUGAGGAGGAAUUACAAAUUUCUCCAUUAGUAGUAAAUUACCUCAAAAAGAAGGUUAGCAAAGAAACGAAAUUUUUUGCUAAUAAGUAAAUUUAGAUUUUUUUGCUAAUAAGCAAAGAAGGUUAUGAUUUUAGAUUUUUCAUACGUAGUCUAGUAUAAUACAAAAACCGUAUAGUGUAGUAUAGUAGUGUAUAAUACAAAAACCGUAUAGUGUAGUAUAUGUGUAUAAUACAAAACCGUAUAGUGUAGUAUAUUAGUGUAUAAUACAAAACCGUAUAGUGUGGUAUAGUAUAGUAUAUAAGUGUAUAAUACAAGUAUAGUAUAGUAUAUAAGUGUAUAAUACAAUAACCGUAUACAUAGUAUAAUACAAAAACCGUAUACAUAGUAUAAUACAAAAACCGUAUAGUUAAAAAUAAAUCGGGAAAUUACCUCUAGAUCUUGGGAUCGGAAGUUGAAGGCUCGAGGACUCAUCGUCUUUGUACAAAGAGAAAGAUACGGUGAAGCUAAGGGGAUAUUCUCAAGUGUCGGCUCCUUUUUAUCAUCGCUACAUCGUAACAGCUUCAGAUCAGUAGACUUCAAUCCUCUCUCCAAUCAUCGGUAUGCGUGAAAGAUAACCCAACCUCUCCUCAAACUCUGAUUCUCGCUCGCUGGUGAACUAAUCUAGCCAUCGGAACAGCUUUAGAUCAGUCGGCUCCUUUUUAUCAUCGUAACAGCUUCAGAUCAGCAGACUUCGAUCCUCUCUCCAAUCAUUGGAACAUAGGUGAAAGAUAACCUACACCCUCUCCUCCCAACUCUGAUUCUGGCCGGUGAACUAAUCUAGACAUCUCAAUUUUUCUGCGGCUAGGUUUCUUCUCGAUAGAUCUUCUAUUUUUCUUUUGUAAUUAACUUUCCAUUAAAAUUAAAAUAAAGUGACAAGAGCAGCCCAUUAUUUCAAAACAAAAGCCCAACGCUGUGUUGAAGUAUUAAAUAAAACAAACAGCCCAUGAUAGAAACCACAAGAGGGCCCAAAUUCCAUGUGGAGAAUCGAAUGGAAGAGAAUUACAUAAGAAUAUCAGCUCUCUUUUUUGUUGGUUAUCUUGAGGAAGACACUAAAUCACAGAUUAAAGUUAAAUUACAUCUUGAUAAUUAAUGUAAGAAAAAAUCUCUAAUUUAUAAAGGUUGAACACAACUAAAAGAGAAAUAAAUAAAAUAAUGAUGGAUUAAAUGUCAUAUAGGAUAUAGUCAUAUAGGUAGCUGAUAAAAACAAAUUAACGAAGCAGACAAAGAUUUUUCCCAAGCCUGAUUUAGGGACAAAGUUGUUCUUACGUGACUCAAUUGCAAAAUUGUACAAAGACGAAUUGGCCCAAACUGUGUAGAAUGGCUUUGGGCUACCAACCCAUGAUAAACCUCAAUUGAAAAUGAAAUCAGUUCGGCCUGCUCAUGCUUUUUAAAAAUUCAAAAUUGGCCCAACAACUUUCACAUUUCUUUGAUUGUUGCAAACUGUACAUCAAAGGUAUAUAAAUAUAGGCUCGUUCACAAAAUUUACGUGUAUUAUAAUCGACUUGAUUUAUAGAUAGAACUAAUGAUAAAUAUAUAUACAACACAAAAAAAGCAACAACAUGACUAUAUAAGUAUAUAUCUAUUCACUUUUCGUGUGUUGCAAAUCAUAAUUAUAUGCUAUUAAAUAAAUUUCUAAUAAAAAUAUAUAUAAAAAAAGAAUUACAUGUUGGCCGGGAUAGUCGACUGUGUUGAGAUGAAUGCUUUCAGUUCCAUUUUUUUGUUUUAAAAUUGGCACUGUUCCUUUUGGACAACUUAGAUCAUUUUUUUUAUAUUUAAUUUUUACAUUGUGACUUUCGUUGAAACUGAUAUUUGAUCUUAGUAUCCAUUAUGAAAUUCUCUUAUUUUUACAUAAGAGAAUUUCAAAAUUAUGCUACAUUUAUUAUAAUGAUAUUUGAUCUUAGUAUCCAUUAUAACCACUGUACCUGAAUCUUGUGGUUUUUCAACAAUAGAUGUUGGAAAGCGGGUUGUUUGUAUAUAUCAAUACAAUCAAAUUCCUGUAAAAUUGACUACAAAAAUAAUUCUUUUUGGGAAAUUUAAAUGAUAAAAUCUUAUGGAAUGUAAAAUUACAAAGUAGAAGUUAUAGAAGCUCACAUCAAUGUUUCCUUCGAGCAUUUGCGUAAAAAGCAAAUAAGAAGAUAGAACAAGCACUAGAUUUAAUGUGAACUUGAAGCAAUAUUGAAUCGAAGAAUCAUGGAUCCUCUUCUGAAAUGGACAAUAAGUAAUGGAAGAAAGCAGUAUUCUAAAUCUAAGCAAUGUAAAAUGUGUACGAUAACAUUUUUUUUUGUUUUACAAAUUAAAAAUUUUAGAUUCGUAACCAAGUUCUUAUGUACAGUAGAAAUUUAAGACUUUUUGAUUCUUUUCUCGGUUGGUAAGAGCAUCUCCAGUCGUUGAGAGACUCAAAUACGUUUCUUACAUAUGUAUAUUGUUAUUUUAAAAUCAUUAGGUAAUUUAAUUAAAAUUUAUUUAAUAAAGAAACUGAACAAUUCAUGAGAAGACACUUGCCUUUAAAGAUUUUUCAAAUGAGAGCAGUUUGUUAUAUCUCUCUCCGACUUUUUAUUUAUUUAUUGUGUUUUGAUGUUAAAAUGCUUUUUUAGAGAUAUGUGCAAUGGAGAUGCUCCAUAAACAAUAGAUUAUGUAAAAUUGUUGUUUUUUAUUUAUUUACUUGAAAUUAUUUUUUCAUUCACACAUCUUUUAAACUUUUUUUUUGAAGAUCUUAAAUAUUUCUCGUUCAUAAGAUGAAAAUAGUUUAGUCAAAUUUUAUUUCUGUUACAAAUUUAAAAUAGUUUCAGUUAAUACAUAUAAAUUCAUCUAUCAUCAAAUAUCAUAAUUUUCAGUUAAUAUAGAAACUGAACUAUUCAUGAGAAGACACUUGUCUUUGGUCAUGGGUAUUUAAAGAUUUUUCAAAUGAGAACCGUUUCUAAUAUCUCUCUCCUACUUUUUUUUUUAUUUUAUUUUAUUAUGUUUUAAUGUUAAAAUAUUUUUUUAGAUAUUGCAUACUCUAAAAGCAAUAGAUUAUGUAAAAUUAUUGUUUUUUUUUUUUUUGAAAUUACUUUCUCAUUCACACAUGCUUAAGCUUUUUUUUUGAAUAUGUUAAAUACUUCUAGUUCACAAGAUGAAAAUAGUUUAGUCAAAUUUUAUUUCUGUUGCAAAUUUAAUAUAGUUUCAGUUGAUACAUAUUAAUUCAUCUAUCAUCAAAUAUCACAGUUUCCACCUGGUCCCCCAAAAGAGAAAGCUACUCCAUUUGGCUUGGAAUAACCCCAGUAUGAUAAUCUAUAACACUGAUAAGAAUCUGCAUAUUGCCUUGCUCUCCUAUCUUCAAUAUCAACUAGUUGAUAAUUUGAAUUCUUCACUUUAACAUGAAUAUAAUAUGAACUUUUAUGAAAGUCAAAAACCGGAAAAUGUCCAUUUCCCAUUGGAGGACUAAUUCCAUUUGGAGAUGUAAAAGUAUUUCCUCCAAAUCGCACCAAAGAAGCUCCUUUAUUUAAGUGUGUGAAUAGUUCUUUGGGCCAAUAACCAAUUAUUUCAUCAAAGAUUUUUAGUGCCCAAUUUCCGCUGAAACCAUCCUAAUAAAGUAUAAAACACAAAAAAAUAAUUACAAAGAUAUUUAAAUUUUAUGCGCAUAUAUGUUAUUUUAACAAAAAAAAUUGACACACUAUAUUGAAUAAUGAAAAAUUAUAAUGAGGGUGAACCCGAUUAUUUCAGAAGCCUAAACAAAGAACUUGAAUUUGUGGCAUUUAUUAAAAUAAUUAAUAACUACAAUUCCUAUCAUUGUUGGCAAAUAAAUUAUUUCUCUUAUAAAAUGUGAAGAAAAUUUACCUGUAAAACUUGUGGUAUGAUAACAAAUGUUUCUUUACCACCAUAAAUAGAGGAUUUAUUAAUAAAGCUUCCAAUAACAGGAAAGGGAUUUAUAAUAACAAAACCAGGACACUUUGUAUUAUAACACCCCGUUUUCUUAUAUCCAUCUGCCUGAUAAAUUCAAAAGAGGCAAAAUAUUUUGAGACACAAAGAUACAAAAAGGCAACAAAUGGUUUAUUUUUAUAAACAUACAAAGAUAUGGUUUAUUUUUAUAAAGAUACAAAGGUAUAAAGACUAUUUCCUAUAAUCACAAAGUUUUAUUGGUUUGUCAUGUAUAAAGAAACAUAAUUAUUCGCAAAAAAAAACACAUAACUAAGUCACUUACAGUCCAAUAUAUUGUAAAUCGCGUCAAAGUAUCCCCGUAUAAUCUUGGAUGCACCUAUAAGAAAAUAUAAAAUACAUGAUGAAACGUGUGUAUUAUCUAAAAUUUUAAAAUAUUAAUAUAAAUUAAAAUAUUAACCAAAAAUUUAAGUGGUAAUAUUUUUGUUUAGAAAGAAAAUAUUAACCAUUUUAUAAUUUUCGUUGAAUAUGUAUGCAUAAUUAUAAAUUUUUAUGUUUACUUAUAUUUUUUUUCUACGUAUAUAUAUUACGUAUUUUAGUUCCAUGUGUAAAAUCACAUGACUAUGUAUGAGCUAUACAUAGUUUUUUUUUAUAAUUAAUAAUAACUUACCGCCCAACCAACUUGUAUGCUAUUGAGUUCACCACGAGGUCCAUUCUCUAACCAAAUUUGACUUUUGCUGUAUUGGUUAUUUCUUACAGAUACAUUAUGAACACUUAUCAUAGCUUCAGCUCCUCGAUAGAUGCUUCCAUCCAAAACGGUUUCGAUUGUUGCAAACUGUACAUCAAAGGUAUAUAAAUAUAGGCUCGUUCACAAAUUUUAUGUGUAUUAUAAUCGACUUGAUUUAUAGAUAGAAUUAAUGAUAAACAUAUAUACAACACUAAAAAGGCAACAACAUGACUAUAUAAGUAUAUAUCUAUUCACUUUUCGUGUGUUGCAAAUCAUAAUUCUAUGCGAUUAAAUUAAUAAAUUUUUUAUAUAAAUAUAUAAAAAAACAAAAAUUACAUGUUGGCCGGGAUACUCGAUUGUGUUGAGAUGAACGCUUUCAGUUCCAUUUCUUUGUUUUAAAAUUGGCACUGUUCCUUUUGGACAACUUAGAUCAUUUUCUUUAUAUUUAUUUUUUAUAUUGUGGCUUUCAUUGAAACUGAAAUUUUCCUGUAACAACACAAAAUAACAGGAUUAAGAAAAUACAACAGAAUUUCAAAAUUAUGCUACAUGUAUUAUAAUGACAUUUGAUUAUAUCUAAGUAUCCACUAUAACCACUGUACCUGAAUCUUGUGGUUUUUCAACAAUGGAUGUUGGAAAGCGGGUUGUUUGUAUAGAUCAACACAAUCAAAUUCCUGUAAAAUUGACUACAAAAAUAAUUCUUUUUGAGAAAUUUAAAUGAUAAAAUCUUAAGGAAUGUAAAACUACAAAGUAGAAGUUAUAGAAGCUCACAUCAACGUUUCCUUCGACCAUUUGCGUAAAAAGCAAAUAAGAAGAUAGAACAAGCACUAGAUUUAAACCCAUUGUUAAACUUUACUUAUAUUUCUCCAUUGAUAUUUUGAUCGCUAUAUAUAAAGAAUUUGAGUCAACAGACAUUUAACAUGUUACAAAAAAAAUUAUACUUGAGUCAACAAAUAAUUAAUUUUAUACCAUUUUUAAGUUUUUUGUUACAGAAUACAGAAAUACAAUAAAGAGAUACAUAAAACUGAAAAUUACUAUACAAACAACAAUACGAAAGAAGAGAGAACACAUAAAAAUAAAAUCAAUGAAAAGAGUAUACUUUGACUAAAAAAGACACGAGGAGGCCAACGUGGAAAAACGGCCAAUUCCCUCCUGAACUAAAUUGCUUUAUCGUAUUUAUACACAAAACUUCAAGUCGUGCCUAUAACUACAUAUACUUAAAUAAAAUUUGAAUUUCCUACACGAAAAAUUAAAAUCUGGUCAAAACCAUCAGCUCGACAAGAUCUUUCUAAACCCUAUUUUCUUGUUAUAUUCAUUAUUGAUUUCUACUACAAUCAUGUUGUUUGCUUCAAUCUCCAUGUUUGAGUAGUUUGCUUGUUAGGUUUAGGGAUUCUCAUUAGGGAUUUAGAUGAAUUAGUAGAUCGAUAACUUGUUAGGAUUAAUCUAUAGAGUUCUUCACCUUAGGUUGUUCUUAAUGCUAAUUCUAGCUUGAUCACCUAGAAUUUGAUCUUAGGAUAAUAGGUAUUUGAUCCGAGAGGGCACAUGUCACUGGAACUACCUUAGGUGAGCAAAUAUUUCUAGAUGCAUCGAGAGUUGGUCUAGGAGAAUUUGUGAACAUAUCAAACUUGAGUUUAAUGCUAGUCUGAUAUAGGAAUUUGCAUCGAGAGAUGGAAUUACUGAUAUUAAUUUAGUAACUUAGCGCAUCGAGAGGUGGUUAGCUAUUCAUUAGUGUUUUGAGUUCUAGAACGGUUCGUUAAAUAAUCCUAAUUAAUUUGCUAGAUUUACUAUUAGUUUAUUUCCUGAAAAAUCCCUAAGCCUAACGUUUUCCCAUCUGAUUUACGUCUCGAUUUUAAUUACUUGUUUUAUUUUAAUUUGCAAUCUUUACUUGUUUAGCUUAAUUCAAAACCUGUUAGUCUAUUGUGUGAACACGAGAGCUUUGUGGAAUUCGACCCUAAAGUACUGCACACGAUCUCUUAUUUGACAGAGUAGUCUUAGGUUUAAUUUGACUCAUAUCAAUGAUCAAAAGAGAGAAAAGAAAAAUCAGAGAAAGAGAAAAAAAGAUCGGAAGAAAAUUCGAAAUUGUCGCUGGCAAUCGGAGGAUUGAUUGACGUUGAGAGAAGAAGUUCACAGUCAGAUCAAGCCAGCGGGUGUUGUAUUGAAGGGUUUAAACCAAGCGAAGAUGAAUUUGUGCAAGAUUGUGACUAGCUGAAGUUCAUGAAGGUUCGGAUUCCUGAUGAGCCCUAACAGUAUAUACGCGAAUCUGUUGAGCAGUUGAAGAAGAAACUGAAUGAGGAAAGAGAAGAAGUGAGAGUAAGAUUUGUUAAGGAGGGUGAAACUGAUGAGAGAGAUUUAGAGAACAAUGCGAUAGGAAUGUUGAAUGAGGUUCAAAGAUUGAGCCGUGAAGCUCAAGAGUUGAAGAAAACAGGAGAGAAUGCACAGUCGGAAGUUGUGAAAGCAAUGGAGAUCGAAACCACAAGUGACAAGAUUAGAACAGCUAAGAUAAGGUUGGUGGCUGCAAGAAAGAUGAAGGAAGCAGCCAGAGCAGCUACACGGCUAUUAGUAGAAACUUACCGUAAAAAGAACGUUAGAAAGAAUCGGAAAAAACUGCUAAUAAUUAAUUUUACAUUGUGAUUUAGAUUUUAUAUACUUGUAUAAUACAAAAACCUAACCUCCAAUCAUCGGUAUGCGUGAAAGAUAACCUAACCUCUCCUCCAACUCUGAUUCUCGUUCGCCGGUGAACUAAUCUAGACAUCGGAACAGCUUCAGAUCAGCAGACUUCGAUCCUCUCUCCAUAAUGACAUCGGUAUUCACCUUCUUCUUAAUAUAUCUUUCCUUCUCCGAUCAUCAAUAUCAUUUCUCUUUAUCACGUGGACUUCAUUUGGGGAUCAAAACUCAGACGUUUGGGCAGCAUUACUGCAAUAUGUAAUAGAGAAGAAACCGUAGAGUUAAAAA